rnacentral:rRNA from 1 species
AUUGAACGCUGGCGGCAGGCUUAACACAUGCAAGUCGAGCGAGCGGCGGACGGGUGAGGAAUGUCCGGGAAUCUGCCUGAUGGAGGGGGAUAACUACUGGAAACGGUAGCUAAUACCGCAUACCAUCAGAUGUGCCCAGAUGGGAUUAGCUAGUAGGUGGGGUACUGGCUCACCUAGGCGCCGAUCCGUAGCGGGUCUGAGAGGUUGACCAGCCACCACGGAACUGAGACACGGUCCAGACUCCUACGGGAGGCAGCAGUGGUGAAUAUUGCACAAUGGGCGCAAGCCUGAUGCAGCCAUGCCGCGUGUGUGAAGAAGGCCUUCGGGUUGUAAAGCACUUUCAGCGAGGAGUCGUUACUCGCAGAAGAAGCACCGGCAAACUCCGUGCCAGCAGCCGCGGUAAUUC